rnacentral:misc_RNA from 1 species
AAGUCGUAACAAGGUUUCCGUAGGUGAACCUGCGGAAGGAUCAUUAAAGAAUUAAGGCUUCGCGGCCAAGUUCUCACCCUUUGUAUGCCGAAACCAUGUUGCUUUGGGCAGGCCCCCGCAUUUCUGGGCCUGCCCAGAGUUAUAAACCCCUGAAUCUCUGCUGUCUGAGUACUAUACAAUAGUUAAA